ACCGACGGCCAUACCACGUUGAACACACCGGUUCUCGUCCGAUCACCGAAGUUAAGCAACGUCGGGCCCGGUUAGUACUUGGAUGGGUGACCGUCUGCGAACACCGGGUGCUGUAGCCA
rnacentral:rRNA from 1 species